GACGAACGCUGGCGGCGUGCUUAACACAUGCAAGUCGAGCGGUAAGGCCCUUUCGGGGGUACGACGAGCGGCGAACGGGUGAGUAACACGUGGGUGACCUGCCCUCAGCUCUGGGAUAAGCCUGGGAAACUGGGUCUAAUACUGGAUAUGACUCCACGGUGCAUGUCGUGGGGUGGAAAGCCUUGUGCGGCUGAGGAUGGGCCCGCGGCCUAUCAGCUUGUUGGUGGGGUGAGGCCUACCAAGGCGACGACGGGUAGCCGGCCUGAGAGGGCGACCGGCCACACUGGGACUGAGACACGGCCCAGACUCCUACGGGAGGCAGCAGUGGGGAAGUCUUGCGCAAUGGGCGAAAGCCUGACGCAGCGACGCCGCGUGAGGGAUGACGGCCUCGG
rnacentral:rRNA from 1 species